rnacentral:rRNA from 1 species
AUUAAUAAUUAAUAUAUUUAAUAAAAAUAAUUUUAAUUUAAUAAAUAUUUUAAUGGGGGUUAAAGUAUUUUUUAAAGAAAAAAUUUUUAAAUUUAUAGUUAAUUAGUAUUGUGAAAGAAUUUUGAAAUAUUAUGAAAAAUAAAAUUUUUAGAAAGUAAUUUUUAUUUAUUGUAUCUUGUGUAUCAGAGUUUAUUAAAAAUUUUUAAUUUAUAAAUUAAUUUCUCGAAUUUAAAAGAGUUAAAUAAUUAUUAAAGUUAUUGUAGCAAAAUUAUUUUAAAUAAUUAUUUAGAAAUGAAAUGUUAAUCGUUUUUAAAUAUAUCUAGUUUUUAUAGAAAAAAAUUUAAUUUUAAAUUUAAAAAUUAUUUAAUUAAUUUAUUAAUUAAAUAAUUAUUUAAAUUUUAUAAUUUAAGGGAUAAGCUUUAAAUUAAAUUUUUAUAAUAUUAAAUUUUUAUUUUGAAAAUUUUAUAAUUUAUAUUGUUAAUAAAUUUUAUUUUGUUAUAAAUAAUUUCAUUUUUUUUAAAAUUUAAAUUUUAUUUAAUUUUUUAUAUAAAAUUUAUUUAUAAUUAUAUAAAGUUAAUUAUAAUGAUAAAAUUAGUAUAUUAUUUAAUAUUAAAUUAAAAUUAAUUUUUGAUUAAUAACUAAAUUAAUUAAAAGGAAUUCGGCAAAUAUUUAUUUUCACUUGUUUAUCAAAAACAUGUCUUUUUGUUAUUUAAUUUAAAGUCUAAUCUGCCCACUGAUUUAUAAAAAUUGAAGGGCUGCAGUAUAUUGACUGUACAAAGGUAGCAUAAUCAUUAGUCUCUUAAUUGGUGACUUGUAUGAAAGAUUGGAUGAAAAAUAUACUGUCUCUUAAUUAAUAUAUAGAAUUUAAUUUUUUAUUUAAAAAGUUACAACAAUUUAAAAAGACGAGAAGACCCUAUAGAGUUUAAUAAAUUAUUUUAUCAAAGUUUUAUUUAUAUUUACUAAUAAUUUUAUAAAUUUAUUUAUUUUGUUGGGGUGAUAAAAAAAUAAAUUUAACUUUUUUUAAGUAAUUUACAUGAAUAAGUGAUUAAU